AGCGAACGCUGGCGGUAUGCUUAACACAUGCAAGUCGAGCGCGAAAGUGACUUCGGUCAUAAGUAGAGCGGCGGACGGGUGAGUAACACGUGGAUAAUCUGCCUUUAGGACUGGGAUAACCCUGGAAAACUAGGGCUAAUACCGGAUAAGACCACAGGUUCCAUGGAACCAGGGGUAAAAGGCGGCCUUCGGGCUGUCGCCGAAAGAUGAGUCCGCGUCCCAUCAGGUAGUUGGUGAGGUAACGGCUCACCAAGCCGAAGACGGGUAGCCGACCUUAGCGGGUGAUCGGCCACACGGGGGACUGAGACAC
rnacentral:rRNA from 1 species